rnacentral:rRNA from 1 species
UACGAACUGUGCAAACGUUAUUCGGAAUCACUGGGCUUACAGGGUGCGUAGGCGGCUUAGCAAGUCAGGUGUGAAAGCCCCCGGCUCAACCGGGGAACUGCGCUUGAAACUGCUGAGCUCGAGUCAGCUAGAGGUACACGGAACUUCCAGUGGAGCGGUGAAAUGUGUUGAUAUUGGAAGGAACACCGGAGGCGAAAGCGGUGUACUGGGGCUGGUCUGACGCUGAGGCACGAAAGCCAGGGGAGCGAACGGG